rnacentral:rRNA from 1 species
GGUCAAGUGAAGAAGCGCAUACGGUGGAUGCCUUGGCAGUCAGAGGCGAUGAAAGACGUGGUAGCCUGCGAUAAGCUUCGGGGAGUCGGCAAACAGACUUUGAUCCGGAGAUCUCUGAAUGGGGGAACCCACCUGGCAUAAGUCAGGUAUCUUGUACUGAAUACAUAGGUGCAAGAGGCGAACCAGGGGAACUGAAACAUCUAAGUACCCUGAGGAAAAGAAAUCAACCGAGAUUCCCUUAGUAGUGGCGAGCGAACGGGGACUAGCCCUUAAGUGGCUUUGAGAUUAGCGGAACGCUCUGGAAAGUGCGGCCAUAGUGGGUGAUAGCCCUGUACGCGAAAAUCUCUUAGUCAUGAAAUCGAGUAGGACGGAGCACGAGAAACUUUGUCUGAAUAUGGGGGGACCAUCCUCCAAGGCUAAAUACUACUGACUGACCGAUAGUGAACCAGUACCGUGAGGGAAAGGCGAAAAGAACCCCGGAGAGGGGAGUGAAAUAGAUCCUGAAACCGUAUGCGUACAAGCAGUGGGAGCCUACUUUGUUAGGUGACUGCGUACCUUUUGUAUAAUGGGUCAGCGACUUAUAUUCAGUGGCGAGCUUAACCGAAUAGGGGAGGCGUAGCGAAAGCGAGUCUUAAUAGGGCGUUUAGUCGCUGGGUAUAGACCCGAAACCGGGCGAUCUAUCCAUGGGCAGGUUGAAGGUUAGGUAACACUGACUGGAGGACCGAACCGACUACCGUUGAAAAGUUAGCGGAUGACCUGUGGAUCGGAGUGAAAGGCUAAUCAAGCUCGGAGAUAGCUGGUUCUCCUCGAAAGCUAUUUAGGUAGCGCCUCAUGUAUCACUGUAGGGGGUAGAGCACUGUUUCGGCUAGGGGGUCAUCCCGACUUACCAAACCGAUGCAAACUCCGAAUACCUACAAGUGCCGAGCAUGGGAGACACACGGCGGGUGCUAACGUCCGUCGUGAAAAGGGAAACAACCCAGACCGUCAGCUAAGGUCCCAAAGUUAUGGUUAAGUGGGAAACGAUGUGGGAAGGCUUAGACAGCUAGGAGGUUGGCUUAGAAGCAGCCACCCUUUAAAGAAAGCGUAAUAGCUCACUAGUCGAGUCGGCCUGCGCGGAAGAUGUAACGGGGCUCAAACCAUACACCGAAGCUACGGGUAUCACUUAGGUGAUGCGGUAGAGGAGCGUUCUGUAAGCCUGUGAAGGUGAGUUGAGAAGCUUGCUGGAGGUAUCAGAAGUGCGAAUGCUGACAUGAGUAACGACAAUGGGAGUGAAAAACUCCCACGCCGAAAGACCAAGGUUUCCUGCGCAACGUUAAUCGACGCAGGGUUAGUCGGUCCCUAAGGCGAGGCUGAAAAGCGUAGUCGAUGGAAAACAGGUUAAUAUUCCUGUACUUCUGGUUAUUGCGAUGGAGGGACGGAGAAGGCUAGGCCAGCUUGGCGUUGGUUGUCCAAGUUUAAGGUGGUAGGCUGAGAUCUUAGGUAAAUCCGGGAUCUUAAGGCCGAGAGCUGAUGACGAGUUGCCAUUAGGCGACGAAGUGGUUGAUGCCAUGCUUCCAAGAAAAGCUUCUAAGCUUCAGAUAACCAGGAACCGUACCCCAAACCGACACAGGUGGUUGGGUAGAGAAUACCAAGGCGCUUGAGAGAACUCGGGUGAAGGAACUAGGCAAAAUGGCACCGUAACUUCGGGAGAAGGUGCGCCGGUGAGGGUGAAGGACUUGCUCCGUAAGCUCAUGCCGGUCGAAGAUACCAGGCCGCUGCGACUGUUUAUUAAAAACACAGCACUCUGCAAACACGAAAGUGGACGUAUAGGGUGUGACGCCUGCCCGGUGCCGGAAGGUUAAUUGAUGGGGUUAGCUAACGCGAAGCUCUUGAUCGAAGCCCCGGUAAACGGCGGCCGUAACUAUAACGGUCCUAAGGUAGCGAAAUUCCUUGUCGGGUAAGUUCCGACCUGCACGAAUGGCGUAACGAUGGCGGCGCUGUCUCCACCCGAGACUCAGUGAAAUUGAAAUCGCUGUGAAGAUGCAGUGUAUCCGCGGCUAGACGGAAAGACCCCGUGAACCUUUACUAUAGCUUUGCACUGGACUUUGAAUUUGCUUGUGUAGGAUAGGUGGGAGGCUUUGAAGCGUGGACGCCAGUCUGCGUGGAGCCAUCCUUGAAAUACCACCCUGGCAACUUUGAGGUUCUAACUCAGGUCCGUUAUCCGGAUCGAGGACAGUGUAUGGUGGGUAGUUUGACUGGGGCGGUCUCCUCCUAAAGAGUAACGGAGGAGUACGAAGGUGCGCUCAGACCGGUCGGAAAUCGGUCGUAGAGUAUAAAGGCAAAAGCGCGCUUGACUGCGAGACAGACACGUCGAGCAGGUACGAAAGUAGGUCUUAGUGAUCCGGUGGUUCUGUAUGGAAGGGCCAUCGCUCAACGGAUAAAAGGUACUCCGGGGAUAACAGGCUGAUACCGCCCAAGAGUUCAUAUCGACGGCGGUGUUUGGCACCUCGAUGUCGGCUCAUCACAUCCUGGGGCUGAAGCCGGUCCCAAGGGUAUGGCUGUUCGCCAUUUAAAGUGGUACGCGAGCUGGGUUUAGAACGUCGUGAGACAGUUCGGUCCCUAUCUGCCGUGGACGUUUGAGAUUUGAGAGGGGCUGCUCCUAGUACGAGAGGACCGGAGUGGACGAACCUCUGGUGUUCCGGUUGUCACGCCAGUGGCAUUGCCGGGUAGCUAUGUUCGGAAGAGAUAACCGCUGAAAGCAUCUAAGCGGGAAACUUGCCUCAAGAUGAGAUCUCACUGGAGCCUUGAGCUCCCUGAAGGGCCGUCGAAGACUACGACGUUGAUAGGUUGGGUGUGUAAGCGCUGUGAGGCGUUGAGCUAACCAAUACUAAUUGCCCGUGAGGCUUGACCAU